rnacentral:rRNA from 1 species
ACAAUUUUCAAGGUGCUGCAUGGUUGUCGUCAGCUCGUGCCGUGAGGUGUCAGGUUAAGUCCUAUAACGAGCGCAACCCCUGUUGUUAGUUGCCAGCGAGUCAAGUCGGGAACUCUAGCAAGACUGCCAGUGCAAACUGUGAGGAAGGUGGGGAUGACGUCAAAUCAUCACGGCCCUUACGCCUUGGGCUACACACGUGCUACAAUGGACGGUACAGAGAGCAGCCACUACGCAAGUAGGCGCGAAUCUUCAAAGCCGUUCUCAGUUCGGAUCGGAGUCUGCAACUCGACUCCGUGAAGCUGGAUUCGCUAGUAAUCGCAGAUCAGCCAUGCUGCGGUGAAUACGUUCCCGGGCCUU